rnacentral:rRNA from 1 species
AAGCUCGUAGUUGAAUUUCGGGAUUAGUACGUUGGUCGUGCCUUAGGUACGUACUGGUGUUACUGGUUCCUACCUUCUGACGAACCAUCAUGUCAUUAAUUUGGUGUGGUGGGGAAUCAGGACUGGUUACUUUGAAAAAAUUAGAGUGUUUAAAGCAGGCUCGCGCUUGAAUACAUUAGCAUGGAAUAAUGAAAUACGGACGUUGAUCCUAUUUUGUUGGUUUCUAGGAUUGACGUAAUGAUUAAUAGGGGAUAGUUGGG